GAUGAACGCUGGCGGCGUGCUUAACACAUGCAAGUCGAACGGAAAGGCCUCUGCUUGCAGGGGUACUCGAGUGGCGAACGGGUGAGUAACACGUGGGUGAUCUGCCCUGCACUUCGGGAUAAGCCUGGGAAACUGGGUCUAAUACCGGAUAGGACAAUGGUUUGGAUGCUGUUGUGGAAAGUUUUUCGGUGUGGGAUGAGCUCGCGGCCUAUCAGCUUGUUGGUGGGGUAAUGGCCUACCAAGGCGUCGACGGGUAGCCGGCCUGAGAGGGUGUACGGCCAAAUUGGGACGGGAGAACGGCCCAAACUCCAACGGGGGGCAGCAGUGGGGAAAAUUGCAAAAUGGGGGCAAGCCUGAUGCAGCGACGCCGGGGGGGGGGUGACGGCCUUCGGGUUGUAAACUCCUUUCGCUAGGGACGAAGCGUUUUUGGAACGGUACCGGGGAAAAAAGCACCGGCUAACUACGG
rnacentral:rRNA from 1 species